CUCUUUGUUGCUACAUUUCAGUGUGUAAACCUUAGAAAGUGGAGGCCUCCAUAUUGAGGUGGACAAUGAUAAAGCUCUCAUCUACACAUUUGAGCAUUCUUUAACCCUGAGGAACUCAGGCGACACUGUGACUAUUUUUGCUCAAGGUCAUUGUCCAUCAGAUCCAAGUUUUCGCUUUGAGAAGGAAUGGGAGAACCAGACUCGAUGGAACACUGGCAAAAUAGCCUUUGUUUCUCUCUAUGACGACACAAAUACGUUGAAGGACAGGAUAUGUGAGCGGAUGUUCCCUACCCCACACUGAAAAAUAAAAAAAGUCACUGG